CGUUCCCGGGCCUUGUACACACCGCCCGUCACACCAUGGGAGUCAGUUGCUCCAGAAAAGGGUUACCUAACCGUAAGGAGGGUGCUCUUUAAGGAGUGACUGGUAACUGGGGUG
rnacentral:rRNA from 1 species